rnacentral:snRNA from 1 species
GGAUGUGAGGGCGAUCUGGCUGCGACAUCUGUCACCCCAUUGAUCGCCAGGGUUGAUUUGGCUGAUCUGGCUGGCUAGGCGGGUGUCCCCUUCCUCCCUCACCGCUCCAUGUGCGUCCCUCCCGAAGCUGCGCGCUCAGUGGAAGAGGACGACGUCCCAGGUAUAGAAGGAGUGUACCGAGGUCUCCAGUCUUCGGUCCCGGGUAUACGAUAGCUGCGCUCCCCUGCUAGAACCUCCAAACAAGCUCAGUGCUGGGCAUUCCUGGAUGAGUCUUAUUAUUUCUAGACAUAUUUCAGUGUAGCUUCAAGUCUGGCUAUGGAA